rnacentral:rRNA from 1 species
UCCUACGGGCGGCAGCAGUAAGGAAUAUUGGACAAUGGCCGCAAGGCUGAUCCAGCCAUGCCGCGUGCAGGAAGACGGACCUAUGGUUUGUAAACUGCUUUUGAACUAGAGAAAACCCCCUUACGUGUAAGGGGCUGAUAGUAUAGUUAGAAUAAGCAUCGGCUAACUUCGUGCCAGCAGCCGCGGUAAGACGAAGGAUGCAAGCGUUAUCCGGAUUCAUUGGGUUUAAAGGGAGCGUAGGCGGACUUAUAAGUCAGUGGUGAAAUCUUUGGGCUUAACCCAGAAACUGCCAUUGAUACUGUAAGUCUAGAGUACAGUUGCCGUUGGCGGAAUAUGACAUGUAGUGGUGAAAUACUUAGAUAUGUCAUAGAACACCGAUUGCGAAGGCAGCUAACGAAGCUGUAACUGACGCUGAGGCUCGAAAGUGCGGGGAUCAAACAGGAUUAGAUACCCUGGUAGUC